rnacentral:rRNA from 1 species
UCUAACCCGCACCCCUGAUCGGGGUGGGAGACAGUGUCAGGUGGGCAGUUUUACUGGGGCGGUCGCCUCCUAAAAAGUAACGGAGGCGCCCAAAGGUUCCCUCAGAAUGGUUGGAAAUCAUUCGUAGAGUGUAAAGGCACAAGGGAGCUUGACUGCGAGACCUACAAGUCGAGCAGGGACGAAAGUCGGGCUUAGUGAUCCGGUGGUUCCGCAUGGAAGGGCCAUCGCUCAACGGAUAAAAGCUACCCCGGGGAUAACAGGCUUAUCUCCCCCAAGAGUCCACAUCGACGGGGAGGUUUGGCACCUCGAUGUCGGCUCAUCGCAUCCUGGGGCUGUAGUCGGUCCCAAGGGUUGGGCUGUUCGCCCAUUAAAGCGGUACGCGAGCUGGGUUCAGAACGUCGUGAGACAGUUCGGUCCCUAUCCGUCGUGGGCGUAGGAAAUUUGAGAGGAGCUGUCCUUAGUACGAGAGGACCGGGAUGGACGCACCGCUGGUGUACCAGUUGUCUUGCCAAAGGCAUCGCUGGGUAGCUAUGUGCGGAAGGGAUAAGUGCUGAAAGCAUCUAAGCAUGAAGCCCCCCUCAAGAUGAGAUUUCCCAUAGCGCAAGCUAGUAAGAUCCCUGAAAGAUGAUCAGGUUGAUAGGUCAGAGGUGGAAGCRUGGCGACAUGUGGAGCUGACUGAUACUAAUAGAUCGAGGACUUAACUAAAA